rnacentral:snRNA from 1 species
GUGCUUGCUUCGGCAGCACAUAUACUAACACUGGAAUGAUACAGAAGAGAUUAGCAUGGCCCCUGUGCAAGGAUGACACGCAAACUCGUGAAGCGUUCCAUAUUUUU